CCUACGGGGGGCAGCAGUGAGGAAUAUUGGUCAAUGGACGAGAGUCUGAACCAGCCAAGUAGCGUGAAGGAUGACUGCCCUAUGGGUUGUAAACUUCUUUUAUAUGGGAAUAAAAUGUUCCACGUGUGGGAUUUUGUAUGUACCAUAUGAAUAAGGAUCGGCUAACUCCGUGCCAGCAGCCGCGGUAAUACGGAGGAUCCGAGCGUUAUCCGGAUUUAUUGGGUUUAAAGGGAGCGUAGGUGGAUUGUUAAGUCAGUUGUGAAAGUUUGCGGCUCAACCGUAAAAUUGCGGUUGAAACUGGCAGUCGUGAGUACAGUAGAGGUGGGCGGAAUUCGUGGUGUAGCGGUGAAAUGCUUAGAUAUCACGAAGAACUCCGAUUGCGAAGGCAGCUCACUGGACUGCAACUGACACUGAGGCUCGAAAGUGUGGGUAUCAAACAGGAUUAGAUACCCCUGUAGUC
rnacentral:rRNA from 1 species